rnacentral:rRNA from 1 species
UACGUAGGGUGCAAGCGUUACUCGGAAUUACUGGGCGUAAAGCGUGCGCAGGCGGUUUCGUAAGUCUGUCGUGAAAUCCCCGGGCUUAACCUGGGAAUGGCGAUGGAGACUGCGAGGCUAGAGUUUGGCAGAGGGGGGUAGAAUUCCACGUGUAGCAGUGAAAUGCGUAGAGAUGUGGAGGAACACCGAUGACGAAGGCAGCCCCCUGGGUCAAAACUGACGCUCAUGCACGAAAGCGUGGGGAGCAAACAGG